AAAGGAGCUGGAGCACAGCAGUCAGAGCCUGCAUCAAUGAAGUGUGUUAAGAAAUGUGGGAAAAUACAUCACUUUCUAGAGGACACUGAUAGAAGUGUUCAGGAACUUUUCAGGAAUGUUGAAAAUAUGGUAGCUAACAAAAAGCUCCAGUUCUUUAUUCCAUCAGACUAUAAACAUUUUAUGGAAACUGAUUUUGAACAAUGGGAAAUGAAACGAAUUUCAGGUAUGAAGAACAUACUGGAUAAAUGCAGCAAUGAUAGAUUAAACAUUAUUGAAGAACUGAAAGUGAAAUUGGAUGCGGCUCUGUACAGAGAGUCCAAACUGAAAGAGGAGUUGGAUGCCUUUAAACAAAGAGAGCGUGAACUGAAAGCACAUUGGGAAGCCACCCUGAGAGAAAAUGGGCUUGAAGCGAAGUUUAUUUGCUGGCAAAAAUCUCUUUCUCAGAAAAAAGAAAGUGAAGUUAGAAAUGAGGAAGGUGAGGUAGAAAAGCACGAGACAAAGCAAAUUUCACAACUCGCUGAAACAAGGAAAUGUGGAAGCAGCAAAGAAGGACCUUUAACAAACUUUCCCAUUAACCAGUGUUAGUCUGCGCACAUACUGAAUUACAUCGAGCCUAAAGGCGGUAGACAAACCAAUGACACAACAAGGACAGAGGAAGAGUCUUGUGUGGAAUCAAAAUCUUCAUGUGUGAAAAACAGAUCGUAUAAGAAGCCUUUGUGUGAUCGCAGAUGAAGAGUAAACACGUGAAUGUAAUAUAAAAAUAAAUACAUAUAAUACAAAGAAUUUAAUCAAUGAAAGAUCACCCAUCAAAAAAAAAAAGAAACCUGUAAAAUCAAUCUUAGAUUUUUUGUGUAUAAUACAUAAACUUUAUAAUGUGGAAAUGAUUCAUUGAAAUUACAAAGAUAAUUAGAUGCUUGUAUUAUGAAAUUCAUGCUUUUUCUGAUUUCUUUUUUUUCUUAUGCACAUUUAAAGCACCUUAAACUAAUUUAAUAAUCUUCAAUAAAUAAUAGCCAUUGCGGAGAAAAGUGAAUCUUAAAGUAUUGUUAUGCAGUAAUUAUCAUUAUUUUGCUUGAAUGUUGCUUUCAAUCUUUUUGAAAAUUACCUAAACAAUAUAAAAUGUAAGAGUGAUUCUAUAUAUAUAUUAAAUUGGUAUU